rnacentral:rRNA from 1 species
AGCGAACGCUGGCGGCAGGCCUAACACAUGCAAGUCGAACGAACUCUUCGGAGUUAGUGGCGGACGGGUGAGUAACCCGUUGGAACGUGCCUUUUGGUUCGGAAUAACUCAGGGAAACUUGUGCUAAUACCGAAUGUGCCCUUCGGGGGAAGGAUUUAUCGCCAUUAGAGCGGCCCGCGUCUGAUUAGCUCGUUGGUGAGGUAACGGCUCACCAAGGCGACGAUCAGUAGCUGGUCUGAGAGGAUGACCAGCCACACUGGGACUGAGACACGGCACAGACUCCUACGGGAGGCAGCAGUGGGGAAGCUUGCGCAAUGGGCGAAAGCCUGACGCAGCCAUGCCGCGUGAAUGAUGAAGGUCUUAGGAUUGUAAAAGUCUUUCACCGGGGACGAUAAUGACGGUACCCGGAGAAGAAGCCCCGGCUAACUUCGUG